AAAGAAAAUAUGUAACUAUAUAACAGUCGGCUGUAACCUGUAACACAAGCAUUAAGUUGCUCACCAUAGGAACAGGCGACCGUG